GGGGAAGUUCCUGUUUCCUUCACAGCAAGCCACUGCCUUGCCUUGGCUUUAUGGGAGAAAGCAGAUUUCAUAUUGAUAAAUCUCUCCCUUAACUAUGGUGGACCCACCACAGGCAUGAAUGUCAUCUUUACAGAGGAAGAGAAAUAACAGGAAGAAUUACAUCGUGCGGCAGUUUUUUGUUGUGGUGAAUUUAAGAUAGCCAGCAGAGGUGAAUAUUGCACCCCUCUGAGGAGAAGAAAAUCCCACAG